GCAAUGAGUGGGGGGAAAUCCCAUCGGCUGCAAGACUUAGCAAGGAAGAAGGCCAUGGCGAGCCCGGAGGCAGACAGCUCUGCCACGAUGCCUUCCUGAAGUCCAAGACCAAGGCUGACUGACCCCGGCGCGAUGGCCCAUCUAUCAACCUGGGAAGACAUCCUUGCGUCUGGGAAGUAGGAGAUACAAUAUUUCAGUUGUCUUAUCCACUUCAAAGUAGCAGCGAUUAUGAAGGCUCCGGAAGCCCCAUCGCUGAAUUUAUUUAAAAGCAAACCAGACAGUGUAUUUUUUCCAAGGAGUGGGGAGUGGAGAGGGGAGGAGGUGGGGGGGAUAAUAUAUUUGCUCCUUCCCGUGUGUGCGUGGAGGGUGAAGUGGCCGAGAGUCUCCCCAUCAAGUCUGCUCAUGAACCCGCGUGUUUUAUUUUCUCCUGCGCGGUUGACUUUCUGCUUUGCAACCCCCAUUGGGGACGGAAGCAUUCCUCUGCCCGGAUCUUUUGUCUGGGAGCAGGAAUGAGAAUGUGGAGGGGGAGACCCGAGCAGAACAGAAGAAAAAUGAAAAGUUAGCCCAACUCUGCACGGUGCGAAGAGAAGAAGUUUGGCCCCCAACCCCCUGCUUUAAGGGUUCAGGGCGGGAGAAGUGUAGAGGGGUGGGGGGCAAUGAUGGGGGGGGGGCAAUAACAAGCUUGACUCGUCCUAUGUGUUUUUAAUUUUAUUUCGCAAUUAGAGGUCUCCAGUUGCUUCUUGAGACACGCAGGGAUAAGCCCAUGUGCGGGUUUCCCGAGGACCACUGGAGUCCGGGAGAAAAACGGAGGAUCAGUUCUGCGACACAUCCGUGGACAUCGCCUAUUUACACUCUCGCUCCUUGCAAUUAAAGAGACGUGGAUCACCCUCACCCCCCCUCCAACACACACCUCCCAGAGAAUUCAUUGCCAAGCUCUAGCUAUGAAAUACGCGACUGAAUAAAAGAAGCAAGCCCAGAAAUAAUCCAGGUUUUAUAGCGAAGCAACAAUUUGUCCUCCCCACUCGCUGGGCCGAGCUUUACGAUGGCUGGGAAGAAAAGAAAUCCAUUACACCAUCUGAAUCCGCGUUUGGAGAGAGAUAGAUGCACGCAAUCGUAAUCUAAUUUAUUUAAAUGGGCCUGACGGGGGUUUCGGAUUGAAUCCGUUUUGGUUUAUUUAUUUCUUUUAUUCAUCCAUUCAUGUGUUUUGCCGGGAUCUGCGCGCGAAGCAAUAAUAAUAAUAAUAAUAAUAAUAAUAAUUCAGGCUCUACACUCAAACUAAAUAUGUCCACCAACAGAAUCUUCUUGCUUAGAUAUAAGGUUAUAGAUCAUUAUAUCCGAAGUCCCCCCUGUUUCUAUAGUAUAACCUACUUGCCUAUAAAUAUUACACUACUUGAUAUAUUACACUGUUUGCUCAUGGAUAUAUUCUAUAUAUCUAUAGAGCUAUAUAGAUCUAUAUAGACACAGAUAUAAUUACAUAUAGAUCUAGAUCGAUAUCUAUAGCUAGAUAUAUAGCUCUAUAGAUAUGUAUCUAUAGACGUACAUAUACACAUAUACAAAUAUAUACACACAUUUAUUUAUAUAUAAAUACACACACUUAUAUACACACACAUAUAUACAUAGAUGCAACUGAUUACUGUCUCGUAUAAUAAAUAUUA